rnacentral:rRNA from 1 species
GUCUAUGGCCAUGCCACCCUGAAAGUGCCCGAUCUCAUCUUCUCUUGUGAAGCUAAGCAGGGUUAGGCCUGGUUAAGUACUUGGGUGGGAGACCACCAGGGGAUAUUGGGUGCUGUAGGAU